AUACGUAGGGUGCAAGCGUUAAUCGGAAUUACUGGGCGUAAAGCGUGCGCAGGCGGUUUUGUAAGACAGUGGUGAAAUCCCCGGGCUCAACCUGGGAACUGCCAUUGUGACUGCAAGGCUGGAGUGCGGCCGAGGGGGAUGGAAUUCCGCGUGUAGCAGUGAAAUGCGUUGAUAUGCGGAGGAACACCGAUGGCCAAGGCAAUCCCCCGGGCCUGCACUGACGCUCAUUGACGCAAGCGUGGGGAGCAAACAGGAUUAGAUACCCUGGUAGUCCACGCCCUAAACGAUGUCCACUUGUUGUUGGGGAUUUAUUUUCUCAGUAACGAAGCUAACGCGUGAAGUUGACCGCCUGGGGAGUACGGCCGCAAGGUUAAAACUCAAAUGAAUUGACGGGG
rnacentral:rRNA from 1 species